rnacentral:rRNA from 1 species
UCAAGUUAUUAAGGGUGCAGGGCGGAUGCCUUGGCACUAGGAGCCGAUGAAGGACGUGAUAAGCUGCGAUAAGCUUCGGGGAGUUGCACGUAAACUUUGAUCCGAAGAUUUCCGAAUGAGGAAACUCACUUAGAGUAAUGUCUAAGUAUCAUUAAGUGAAUACAUAGCUUAAUGAGGGGAACUCAGGGAACUGAAACAUCUAAGUACCUGAAGGAAGAGAAAGAAAUUCGAUUCCGUAAGUAGCGGCGAGCGAACGCGGAUUAGCCCAAACCAAUAAAGUUUUCUUUAUUGGGGUUGCGGACAUAUCAUAACGGAGAGGUAUCGUAAUUGAAGAGGUUUGGAAAGACCCACCACAGAAGGUAAUAGUCCUGUAUGUUAAACGAGAAGACUUUAGAUAUGAUCCAGAGUACCACGGGACACGUGAAACCCUGUGGGAAGCAGGAGGGACCACCCUCCAAGGCUAAAUACUACCUAGUGACCGAUAGCGUAUAGUACCGUGAGGGAAAGGUGAAAAGAACCCCGGGAGGGGAGUGAAAUAGAACCUGAAACCCUGCACUUACAAGCUGUGGAAGCACAUUUCUUGUGUGACCGCGUACUUUUUGUAGAACGGGCCAACGAGUUACGUUAAGUAGCAAGGUUAAGCACUUAAGGUGCGGAGCCGUAGCGAAAGCGAGUUUUAACUGAGCGUUCAGUUACUUGACGUAGACCCGAAACCGGGCGACCUACCCAUGAGCAGGAUGAAGCGAAAGUAAAAUUUCGUGGAGGUCCGAACCCACGAGCGUUGAAAAGCUCGGGGAUGACUUGUGGGUAGCGGUGAAAUUCCAAUCGAGCCCGGAGAUAGCUGGUUCUCCCCGAAAUAGCUUUAGGGCUAGCCUCAAGGUGAGAGAUACGGAGGUAGAGCACUGAAUGUCCUAGGGGGUAUUGCACCUACCGAAGACUAUCAAACUCCGAAUGCCGUCAUCUUAUACUUGGGAGUCAGACUGUGGGUGAUAAGAUUCAUAGUCGAAAGGGCAACAGCCCAGAUCGUCAGCUAAGGUCCCUAAAUGUAAGUUAAGUGGUAAAGGAUGUGGGAUUGCACAGACAACCAGGAUGUUGGCUUAGAAGCAGCCACUCAUUCAAAGAGUGCGUAAUAGCUCACUGGUCGAGUGAUCCUGCGCCGAAGAUUUCCGGGGCUAAAACUUACUACCGAAGCUACGGCAUCAGUAAUGAUGGGUAGGGGAGCUUCCCAUACGGGUUGAAGCAUGACCGUAAGGACAUGUGGACAGUAUGGGAGUGAGAAUGUUGGCAUGAGUAGCGAGAUGUGGGUGAGAAUCCCACAGGCCGUAAACCCAAGGUUUCCAGGGGAAGGUUCGUCCGCCCUGGGUUAGUCGGGACCUAAGCUGAGGCCGAAAGGCGUAGGUGAUGGACAACAGGUUGAUAUUCCUGUACUACCGAUAACCGUUUGAGAGAAGGGAUGACACAGUAGGAUAAGCUAAGCACACUGUUGGUUAUGUGUGCCCAAGCAUUGAGGCAGUCAAAGUAGGCAAAUCCGCUUUGAUAAUGCUGGGAUGUGAUGGGGAGCGAAAUUUAGUAGCGAAGUAGCUGAUUUCACACUGUCAAGAAAAGUCUCUAUCGAGGUUAAAGGUACCCGUACCGCAAACCGACACAGGUGGGUGAGGAGAGUAUCCUAAGGCCAGCGAGAGAACUGUUGUUAAGGAACUCGGCAAAAUGACCCCGUAACUUAGGGAUAAGGGGUGCCACCAUCAGGUGGCCGCAGAGAAUAGGCCCAAGCGACUGUUUACCAAAAACAUAGGUUUCUGCUAAGUCGCAAGACGAUGUAUAGGAGCUGACGCCUGCCCGGUGCUGGAAGGUUAAGGGGAUCUGUUAGAGCAAUCGAAGCAGUGAACUUAAGCCCCAGUAAACGGCGGCCGUAACUAUAACGGUCCUAAGGUAGCGAAAUUCCUUGUCGGGUAAGUUCCGACCCGCACGAAAGGCGUAACGAUUUGGGCACUGUCUCAACAACAGACUCGGUGAAAUUGUAAUUCCGGUGAAGAUGCCGGAUACCUGCGACAGGACGGAAAGACCCCAUGGAGCUUUACUGUAGCUUGACAUUGGGUCUUGGUACUACAUGUACAGGAUAGGUGGGAGGCUUUGAAACCAGGACGCCAGUUUUGGCGGAGCCAUCCUUGGGAUACCACCCUUGUAGUACUGGGACUCUAACCAUAGGCCAUGAAUCUGGUCUUGGGACACUGUCAGGUGGGCAGUUUGACUGGGGCGGUCGCCUCCCAAAAGGUAACGGAGGCGCUCAAAGGUUCUCUCAGUACGGUCGGAAAUCGUACGUAGAGUGUAAAGGCAAAAGAGAGCUUGAUUGCAAGACAUACAGGUCGAGCAAGGAUGAAAAUCGGACUUAGUGAUCCGGUGGUUCUGCGUGGAAGGGCCAUCGCUCAACGGAUAAAAGCUACCCUGGGGAUAACAGGCUUAUCUCCCCCAAGAGUCCACAUCGACGGGGAGGUUUGGCACCUCGAUGUCGGCUCAUCACAUCCUGGGGCUGUAGUAGGUCCCAAGGGUUGGGCUGUUCGCCCAUUAAAGUGGUACGCGAGCUGGGUUCAGAACGUCGUGAGACAGUUCGGUCCCUAUCCGUCGCAGGCGUAGGAAAUUUGAGAAGACCUGUCCUUAGUACGAG